CGCAUCUGUGCAUGCAGCAUAUCAAUAAGCGGAGGAAAAGAAACUAACAAGGAUUCCCCUAGUAACGGCGAGUGAAGCGGGAAGAGCUCAAAUUUGAAAUCUUAAAGGGUUUCCCUUUACGAAUUGUAGUUUAAAGAAGUGUUUUCUGUUGAGGUUUUGGUAAAAGUUCUUUGGAAUAGGACAUCAUAGAGGGUGAGAAUCCCGUAUUUGACCUUUACUUUCAACUUUGUGAUACACUUUCAAGGAGUCGGAUUGUUUGGGAAUGCAGUCCAAAAUGGGUGGUAAAUUUCAUCUAAAGCUAAAUAUUGGCGAGAGACCGAUAGCGAACAAGUACCGUGAGGGAAAGAUGAAAAGAACUUUGAAAAGAGAGUUAAACAGUACGUGAAAUUGUCAAAAGGGAAGCGUUUGACACCAGUGUUGUUUUUCUGAAAAUCAAUUAAAGAACUGUUUAUGCUAAGCUGUUUAGACUUUAUCAGCUAACUGUUUAGUUUUGAGCUUUUCUUUAAUGCACUUUUCAGUUAACAAGUCAACAUCAAUUUCUUUUGCUGUAAAAAAGCUUGAGGAAGGUGGCUUGAGAUUCGUCUUAAGUGUUUAUAGCCUCUUGCCUAUGCAGUCGGAGAGAUUGAGGUCUGCAGCGUAGAUCCUUCGGGGCUAAAUGCAUUUGUGCUAAGUUAUAGCAUUUUAUAGACAACUUGUUGACUAUGAUUUGUCUUGUAGCUUACUCGCUUAUGUUAUUUUACCUACGCUUAGGAUGUUGAAUCUGUGCGAGACUAC
rnacentral:rRNA from 1 species